GCAUCCAGUGAACAUAUUGACAAAAUGUAGCAUAGAACAUGAAUGGUUCACGAUCAUUGUAAGCAUGUUUUCCUUUAUUGUUUGUUUAAUUGUAUAAAACACUCUUAUUCGAUUAUAUUUUUGAAAAAGUAUUAUAGACAUAGCAUCUUUAUUAACCAUGCAUUUUUAAUUUGGCAUAGGAACUUCAACAGAUAAAAGGAACAUUACAUACAAGAUCGUUUUUGGAUUUCAAUUGAUAUUUUUUUCGUGGAGAUUUAUACAGAUAUUAUUGACGACAAAGUUCUUUUUCAAGAAAAACAGCAAACAUUGGCCAGGAAGCACCAGGACCUGCCAAGGAAGAAGUUGGGAAGAAGAUCAACAAACCUCAUACUUGAGAGAUGAGAGAUCAAAAAAGAGCUAAUCAGGGACAACUGUUUGUUCACCAAAUACAACCAUUUUAGGGCUUUUCUUCUAUCAAUUUUAGGCGCCAAUGAGGUAAAUACUUCUGAUGAGUUAAAAUUAGUAAUUUUGGAAUAUCCUAUGGAAGUAGUCAAUGUAUGAUUUU